GUGCAGACCUCGUCUCUGAUCGACAGAACCUCGCUCAAAUAUAUCGCUCCCACGCCCACAAAUCUCACUCCACAGCCAUAAAAAAUACAUCAAAAUGGAGGUAUAUGUGUCCUGCUUCUCACAAAAGAGGUUUCAAAUCAUUAAAUCCUACCCCUUGGCCAGCAGGUGACCAACUGUCCAAAUAGGCGGAAAUCUCUCCCCAUUAGACCUAAUGUAUUUCUUCUCCAAGAAAAUCCUUAUCCCCACUCAGGCUCAGACUUUUUUAACUCGCUGUUGUGGCCACAUUUUUCGAAGUACAGACAUGAAAAACACAUCAUUGUGUUCAUGAAGGACGGAGGAUUCGUACGAUGUUCUUAUUUUCAUUCUGGGACUUAAGGAAAUCACGCUAUGUGAAGAAGUUCACAGGCUGAAAUUCACUGCAGUUCAGCACCUCUCAGUCAAACAGUAGGUUAGUGAUUUGCCUUUGAUCUCACAGCUGUUUAGGAUGCAGUCAUUAACGAGACACACACACACACACGCACACACAUUCUUGUACUUGUUGCUUUUUGAGGUCCACCUUGCAGUUCAGCUGCUUGUACACACAGUUAAUAUGUGUCUGCUUCACCACCUAUCUCCACCCACAAACUUUGAGCUACAGAAACCAUUCUGGGCUUCAAAAAUUCAGCUCAUUGAAGAUAUUAUGGGGUGUUUUGAGGAUUGUGAUAAUAAAUUGUAUUAAUGUGUUCAGCAGAGUCUUGUGUUCUCACAAGCUCCUUAUGAAUAUAUACAGAGGGUGAGCGUCAGGGCCUACUUGGAGUCCUGUUUCUUUAGCUUCAAGCCUUCUUUCUCCUGCUAUAGUUAUGCAUCCAAGGUCCCCAUGGCAACCAAUUUGUGCACCUGGAGACACACAGCUGACUGGAAAGCUGCUUCUAGUGGCCAUAUGAGACACAUGAAGCCAGGCUCAGUACACAUAGCAAUUGGGAUGACACUUAAAACCCUUUCCUAGAGCGUUGGAAAAAACUUCAGCCCCUAUCUCCUCACAUGACCUUUGACCUACAGAAACCAUUCAGGGCUUUGAAAUUUAAGCUCAUUGAGGACAUUAUUGGGUGUAUUUAGGAUUGUUAUUCAUUUAAAUUUUUCACAUUUUAAAAGUCAGUCAGUGAUGAUUUAUCAUUUAAUUUUUCAAACUAAUUUAAACUCAUUCAAACUGAUUCAAACCUUUCUAAUACUUCAAAACUUUCUGAUACUUGAGGACUUUUGAUAAUUUAAAAUUUCCCUGUUUUAAAUUAGUUUUAAUAUUUAUGCAUUACUCCAUCAUUCAAACAAAAUCCUACCUCAAGUACGACAACUACUGCUAAUGUCAAUUAAACUAGAACUUUCCCCUCUACUUCAACUGCUAUUGCUCCUAUUUCUACUUUCUUUACUACUUUGACUUAUACUUCUUUUAUUCUCAAUCUACUUCUACUGCUGACAUGACUACUAGUAUCACGACUUGACUUCUUAUCAUACUACUUCUAGUACUACAAUUUAAACUUAUGCCACUUCUCACCUUCCUGCCUUUUAAGGCAAUUUCCUUCUUCAUUCAAACUUUGUGCAAUUUUAGACAUUUUUCUAGCCUCUUUCAGCAUGAAUAAAAUUUCCUUUUAUAGAGCAUAUUCAUACUAUUUGUCCUUCAACCAAUUAAUCAAUUAUCCAACUUAUAUUUCUUUUCACCCCUUCAACAGCUUUAACAUUUAUACCUUUCUCCAUGUUUUAUUAGCAGUUUAGCAUUGCUUUUUCAGCUUUCAGCACUCAGCAUUUCCACGCAUUUUCUGCAAGGAAAUGCAAUUUUUCUAGUAUUAUACUUAACACUCUCCCCAUACGUUUCUUUGGACCGCUUCUCCUCCUUCAAACUUUGUCCGAUUUCAACCGUUCAAACUUUAAACUAUUCCACUCCUUCAGGACAUGAUGGCUAUUACUUUUCUUUUUUCUACCCUUUAUACUUUUUAUUAUUUUUCACUUUUUGUGCCAAACUUUUUUCCCAUAGAAAUGAAUGGGGAAAUCUUUCAAUUCUUCCUGUUAUUCGUCCACCUUCUAAGCCUUAUAACUUCAGCAUACUUUCACCUAGAGACCUCAUUUUUGCUUUAAAAUGUUCAUUGUCUUGUCGACUAUUGAUAUUGUAUUAACCUUUUUGUGCUAUCUUUUACAGUUUUUCCACAAUUUAGCUUUAAGCAACUUGUGGUUUUCAGCAAAUUUCAGGCUUUAUAAUGGGUGUGUAUUGGAGAGUUUAGAGUGAUGAUUUGAAAAGCUAGAGUGCAGACCUCGUCUCUGAUCGACAGAACCUCGCUCGAAUAUAUCGCUCCCACGCCCACAAAUCUCACUCCACACCCAUAAAAAAUACAUCAAAAUGGAGGUAUAUGUGUCCUGCUUCUCACAAAAGAGGUUUCAAAUCAUUAAAUCGUACCCCUUGGCCAGCAGGUGACCAACUGUCCAAAAAAGGCGGAAAUCUCUCCCAUUGACCAUAAUGUUAUUUUUCUCCAAGAAAAUCCGGAUCAUCGCUCAGGCUCAGACUUUUUUAACUCGCUGUUGUGGCCUCAUUUUUCGAAGUACAGACAUGAAAAACACAUCAUUGUGUUCAUGAAGGACGGAGGAUUCGUACGAUGUUCUUAUUUUCAUUCUGGGACUUAAGGAAAUCACGCUAUGUGAAGAAGUUCACAGGCUGAAAUUCACUGCAGUUCAGCACCUCUCAGUCAAACAGUAGGUUAGUGAUUUGCCUUUGAUCUCACAGCUGUUUAGGAUGCAGUCAUUAACGAGACACACACACACACGCACACGCACAUUCUUGUACUUGUUGCUUUUUGAGGUCCACCUUGCAGUUCAGCUGCUUGUACACACAGUUAAUAUGUGUCUGCUUCACCACCUAUCUCCACCCACAAACUUUGAGCUACAGAAACCAUUCUGGGCUUCAAAAAUUCAGCUCAUUGAAGAUAUUAUGGGGUGUUUUGAGGAUUGUGAUAAUAAAUUGUAUUAAUGUGUUCAGCAGAGUCUUGUGUUCUCACAAGCUCCUUAUGAAUAUAUACAGAGGAUGAGCGUCAGGGCCUACUUGGAGUCCUGUUUCCUUAGCUUCAAGCCUUCUUUCUCCUGCUAUAGUUAUGCAUCCAAGGUCCCCAUGGCAACCAAUUUGUGCACCUGGAGACACACAGCUGACUGGAAAGCUGCUUCUAAUGGCCAUAUGAGACACAUGAAGCCAGGCUCAGUACACAUAGCACUGGGGAUGACACUUAAAACCCUUUCCUAGAGCGUUGGAAAAAACUUCAGCCCCUAUCUCCUCACAUGACCUUUGACCUACAGAAACCAUUCAGGGCUUUAAAAUUUAAGCUCAUUGAGGACAUUAUGGGGUGUAUUUAGGAUUUAUAUUCAUUUAGAUUUUUCACAUUUUAAAGUCACUCAGUGAUGAUUUAUCAUUUAAUUUUUCAAACUAAUUUGAACUGAUUCAAACUGAUUCAAACCUUUCUAAUACUUAAAAACUUAAACUUAUGCCACUUCUCACCUUCCUGCCUUUUAAGGCAAUUUCCUUCUUCAUUCAAACUUUGUGCAAUUUUAGACAUUUUUCUAGCCUCUUUCAGCAUGAAUAAAAUUUCUUUUUAUAGAGCAUAUUCAUACUAUUUGUCCUUCAACCAAUUAAUCAAUUAUCCAACUUACAUUUCUUUUCACCCCUUCAACAGCUUUAACAUUUAUACCUUUCUCCAUGUUUUAUUAGCAGUUUAGCAUUGCUUUUUCAGCUUUCAGCACUCAGCAUUUCCACGCAUUUUCUGCAAGGAAAUGCAAUUUUUCUAGUAUUAUACUUAACACUCUCCCCAUACGUUUCUUUGGACCGCUUCUCCUCCUUCAAACUUUGUCCGAUUUCAACCGUUCAAACUUUAAACUAUUCCACUCCUUCAGGACAUGAUGGCUAUUACUUUUCUCUUUUCUACCCUUUAUACUUUUUAUUAUUUUUCACUUUUUGUGCCAAACUUUUUUCCCAUAGAAAUGAAUGGGGAAAUCUUUCAAUUCUUCCUGUUAUUCGUCCACCUUCUAGACCUUAUAACUUCAGCAUACUUUCACCUAGAGACCUCAUUUUUGCUUUAAAAUGUUCAUUGUCUUGUCGACUAUUGAUGUUGUAUUAACCUUUUGUGCUAUCUUUUACAGUUUUUCCACAAUUUAGCUUUAUGCAACUUGUGGUUUUCAGCAAAUUUCAGGCUUUAUAAUGGGUGUGUAUUGGAUAGGCUAGAGUGAGGAUUUGAAAAGCUAGAGUGCAGACCUCCUCUCUGAUCGACAGAACCUCGCUCGAAUAUAUCGCUCCCACGCCCACAAAUCUCACUCCACAGCCAUAAAAAAUACAUCAAAAUGGAGGUAUAUGUGUCCUGCUUCUCACAAAAGAGGUUUCAAAUCAUUAAAUCGUACCCCUUGGCCAGCAGGUGACCAACUGUCCAAAUAGGCGGAAAUCUCUCCCCAUUAGACCUAAUGUAUUUCUUCUCCAAGAAAAUCCUUAUCCCCACUCAGGCUCAGACUUUUUUAACUCGCUGUUGUGGCCUCAUUUUUCGAAGUACAGACAUGAAAAACACAUCAUUGUGUUCAUGAAGGACGGAGGAUUCGUACGAUGUUCUUAUUUUCAUUCUGGGACUUAAGGAAAUCACGCUAUGUGAAGAAGUUCAGAGGCUAAAUCCUCUGCAGUUCAGCACCUCUCAGUCAAACAGUAGGUUAGUGAUUUGCCUUUGAUCUCACAGCUGUUUAGGAUGCAGUCAUUAACGAGACACACACACACACACACACACACACACACACACACACACAUUCUUGUACUUGUUGCAUUGUCAGGUCUACCUUGCAGUUCACCUGCUUGUACACACAGUUAAUAUGUGUCUGCUUCACCACCUAUCUCCACCCACAAACUUUGAGCUACAGAAACCAUUCUGGGCUUGAAAAAUUCAGCUCAUUGAAGAUAUUAUGGGGUGUUUUGAGGAUUGUGAUAAUAAAUUGUAUGAAUGUGUUCAGCAAAAUCUUGUGUUCUCACAAGCUCCUUAUCAUGAAUAUAUACAGAGGAUGAGCGUCAGGGCCUACUUGGAGUCCUGUUUCCUUAGCUUCAAGCCUUCUUUCUCCUGCUAUAGUUAUGCAUCCAAGGUCCCCAUGGCAACCAAUUUGUGCACCUGGAGACACACAGCUGACUGGAAAGCUGCUUCUAAUGGCCAUAUGAGACACAUGAAGCCAGGCUCAGUACACAUAGCACUGGGGAUGACACUUAAAACCCUUUCCUAGAGCGCUUGAAAAAACUUCAGCCCCUAUCUCCUCACAUGACCUUUGACCUACAGAAACCAUUCAGGGCUUUAAAAUUUAAGCUCAUUGAGGACAUUAUGGGGUGUAUUUAGGAUUUAUAUUCAUUUAAAUUUUUCACAUUUUAAAGUCACUCAGUGAUGAUUUAUCAUUUAAUUUUUCAAACUAAUUUAAACUCAUUCAAACUGAUUCAAACCUUUCUAAUACAUAAAAACUUUCUGAUACUUGAGGAUUUUUAAUUAAUAAAAUUUUCCCUGUUUUAUAUUAGUUUUAAUAUUUAUGCAUUACUCCAUCAUUCAAACAAAAUCCUACCUCAAGUACGACAACUACUGCUAAUGUCAAUUAAACUAGAACUUUCCCCUCUACUUCAACUGCUAUUGCUCCUAUUUCUACUUUCUUUACUACUUUGACUUAUACUUCUUUUAUUCUCAAUCUACUUCUACUGCUGACAUGACUACUAGUGUCACGACUUGACUUCUUAUCAUACUACUUCUAGUACUACAAUUUAAAUUUAUGCCACUUCUCACCUUCCUGCCUUUUAAGGCAAUUUCCUUCUUCAUUCAAACUUUGUGCAAUUUUCGACAUUUUUCUAGCCUCUUUCAGCAUGAAUAAAAUUUCCUUUUAUAGACCAUAUUCAUACUAUUUGUCCUUCAACCAAUUAAUCAAUUAUCCAACUUAUAUUUCUGUUCACCCCUUCAACAGCUUUAACAUUUAUACCUUUCUCCAUGUUUUAUUAGCAGUUUAGCAUUGCUUUUUCAGCUUUCAGCACUCAGCAUUUCCACGCAUUUUCUGCAAGGAAAUGCAAUUUUUCUAGUAUUAUACUUAACACUCUCCCCAUACGUUUCUUUGGACCGCUUCUCCUCCUUCAAACUUUGUCCGAUUUCAACCGUUCAAACUUUAAACGAUUCCACUCCUUCAGGACAUGAUGGCUAUUACUUUUCUUUUUUCUACCCUUUAUACUUUUUAUUAUUUUUCACUUUUUGUGCCAAACUUUUUUUCCCAUAGAAAUGAAUGGGGAAAUCUUUCAAUUCUUCCUGUUAUUCGUCCACCUUCUAAGCCUUAUAACUUCAGCAUACUUUCACCUAGAGACCUCAUUUUUGCUUUAAAAUGUUCAUUGUCUUGUCGACUAUUGAUAUUGUAUUAACCUUUUUGUGCUAUCUUUUACAGUUUUUCCACAAUUUAGCUUUAAGCAACUUGUGGUUUUCAGCAAAUUUCAGGCUUUAUAAUGGGUGUAUUGGAGAGUUUAGAGUGAUGAUUUGAAAAGCUAGAGUGCAGACCUCGUCUCUGAUCGACAGAACCUCGCUCGAAUAUAUCGCUCCCACGCUCUCAAAUCUCACUCCACACCCAUAAAAAAUACAUCAAAAUGGAGGUAUAUGUGUCCUGCUUCUCACAAAAGAGGUUUCAAAUCAAUAAACCGUACCCCUUGGCCAGCAGGUGACCAACUGUCCAAAAAAGGCGGAAAUCUCUCCCAUUGACCAUAAUGUUAUUUUUCUCCAAGAAAAUCCGGAUCAUCGCUCAGGCUCAGACUUUUUUAACUCGCUGUUGUGGCCUCAUUUUUCGAAGUACAGACAUGAAAAACACAUCAUUGUGUUCAUGAAGGACGGAGGAUUCGUACGAUGUUCUUAUUUUCAUUCUGGGACUUAAGGAAAUCACGCUAUGUGAAGAAGUUCACAGGCUGAAAUUCACUGCAGUUCAGCACCUCUCAGUCAAACAGUAGGUUAGUGAUUUGCCUUUGAUCUCACAGCUGUUUAGGAUGCAGUCAUUAACGAGACACACACACACACACGCACACACAUUCUUGUACUUGUUGCUUUUUGAGGUCCACCUUGCAGUUCAGCUGCUUGUACACACAGUUAAUAUGUGUCUGCUUCACCACCUAUCUCCACCCACAAACUUUGAGCUACAGAAACCAUUCUGGGCUUCAAAAAUUCAGCUCAUUGAAGAUAUUAUGGGGUGUUUUGAGGAUUGUGAUAAUAAAUUGUAUUAAUGUGUUCAGCAGAGGCCUUGUGUUCUCACAAGCUCCUUAUGAAUAUAUACAGAGGGUGAGCGUCAGGGCCUACUUGGAGUCCUGUUUCUUUAGCUUCAAGCCUUCUUUCUCCUGCUAUAGUUAUGCAUCCAAGGUCCCCA